rnacentral:rRNA from 1 species
AGAGUUUGAUCCUGGCUCAGGAUGAACGCUGGCGGCGUGCUUAACACAUGCAAGUCGAACGAAGUCCAUGGAGCUUGCUCCGGAAGAUUGAGUGGCGAACGGGUGCGUAACACGUGAGAAACCUGCCCCGGACUUUGGGAUAACAGUUGGAAACGACUGCUAAUACCGAAUGCCAUCUUUUCCUCGCAUGGGGAUUUGAUGAAAGGUCCGCCGGUCCGGGAGGGUCUCACGGCCUAUCAGCUUGUUGGGGGGGUAAUGGCUCACCAAGGCAUCGACGGGUAGCUGGUCUGAGAGGAUGAUCAGCCACACUGGGACUGAGACACGGCCCAGACUCCUACGGGAGGCAGCAGUGGGGAAUCUUGCACAAUGGGCGCAAGCCUGAUGCAGCAACGCCGCGUGCGGGAAGAAGGCCUUAGGGUUGUAAACCGCUUUCAGUAGGGAAGAAAAUGACGGUACCUACAGAAGAAGGUGCGGCCAACUACGUGCCAGCAGCCGCGGUAACACGUAGGCACCAAGCGUUAUCCGGAUUUAUUGGGCGUAAAGAGCUCGUAGGCGGUUCAGUCAGUCGGGUGUGAAAACUUGAGGCUUAACCUCAAGAGGUCACUCGAUACUACUGUGACUAGAGUGCGGUAGGGGAGCGGGGAAUUCCUGGUGUAGCGGUGAAAUGCGCAGAUAUCAGGAGGAACACCAGUGGCGAAGGCGCCGCUCUGGGCCGUAACUGACGCUGAGGAGCGAAAGCAUGGGUAGCAAACAGGAUUAGAUACCCUGGUAGUCCAUGCCGUAAACGUUGGGCACUAGGUGUGGGUCUCAACCAACGAGAUCCGCGCCGUCGCUAACGCAUUAAGUGCCCCGCCUGGGGAGUACGGUCGCAAGACUAAAACUCAAA